CAGUCCCUGAUUUUUUGGCAGUGUGGUUAGCUGGUUGUUUCGCCUGCAACAACCACUCUCCACAUUACCGCCAAAUCAGCCGACCA
rnacentral:pre_miRNA from 1 species